rnacentral:rRNA from 1 species
AUUGAACGCUGGCGGCAGGCCUAACACAUGCAAGUCGAACGAGUGGCGGACGGGUGAGUAAUGUCUGGGAAACUGCCUGAUGGAGGGGGAUAACUACUGGAAACGGUAGCUAAUACCGCAUACCAUCAGAUGUGCCCAGAUGGGAUUAGCUGUUAGGUGGGGUAAUGGCUCACCUAGGCGACGAUCCCUAGCUGGUCUGAGAGGAUGACCAGCCACACUGGAAAUGAGACACGGGCCAGACUCCUACGGGAGGCAGCAGUGGGGAAUAUUGCACAAGGGGCGCAAGCCUGAUGCAGCCAUGCCGCGUGUAUGAAGAAGGCCUUCGGGUUGUAAAGUACUUUCAGCGAGGAGGCGUUACUCGCAGAAGAAGCACCGGCUAACUCCGUGCCAGCCGCCGCGGUAAUAC